CAGAUCGUAGGUUGCGAUUACCGUUUAUCAUGUCUUGAUUUUUCAUAUUCUUUCUGAUUAUUGAAUCUAAUUAUGUAUAGAGAUAUAGUUGUCUCAAUAAGAAAAUAUUCAAUGAUGGGAUACCGUGAUAUGAUCUAUGAAUUAAAGAUUUUGAAAAAAAAUUAUGUAAUUAUAUGAGUUUAUUGAAGUAUGUGUGAGGUAAGUAAUAUAACUCUUUUCUUAGAUUUAUCGAUAAAUUACAUAGUAUUUAUAUUAUUGAAUUUUGAAUCAUAUUAUUUAUGAUUUAUAAAUAUGAGGUAUGAUAUUUAUUGGUUAAAUUUAUUAUAGAAUACCAUUAAUGCAUUAUUGAAGGCAUUGAUUUCAUUAUGGAGUUGUGAUUGAUUAAUUUUGAUUUCAGAUAGUUUUGUGUAUUAUUCAAUUGAAUACAAAAUUGAUUUUAUUGAAGAGAGAUAUAUGAAUUGAGAUGGAUUUUGACUCAUAGCCUAAUUAUGUAUCGAAAUCCUACCAAUGAAGAUUAUAUAUUGGCAUAUCAAUAUGCUACAAGUGGGGGGUUAUAUGUUGGUAUAUUGAUAUCUUGCCAAUAGAAAUUAUGUGUUGGUACAUUGAUAUCCUGCUAGUGAAGUUAUGUGUUGAUAUAUCGAUAUCCUGUUAGUGAGGUUUGUGCAUUGAUAUAUCGAUACUCUAUCAGUGGGGUUUGUAUGUUGAUACAUCCACACUCUGCUAGUGGGGUUGGCACUGGCACUGGUAUAUUGACACCCUAUUAGUGUGGUUAUGUGCUGGUAUAUUGAUAUCCUGUUAGUAGAGAUUAUGUGCUAGUAUAUUAGCACCCUAUUAGUGGGGGUUAUACGUUGGUUUAUCAAUAUCCUGUCAGUGAAGGUUAUGUGCUGGUAUAUCGAUAUUCUAUCCGUGGGGAGUUAUACAUUGAGACUUUGUCUAUUUUGAGCUUAUCUAACCUAGCUAUAGGAUAUAAGUAUGAUCAUAGUUUAUGGCUAUUGAGGUGAACCAGAUAUUUUGAAAAAAAUUGAUUUAUGAAUAAAAAUAAAUAAAAAAUAAAUUUUUUAAAAAAUUUGAAUUUGUAUGGAUUUUAUUUUGAUUAGUAUUGUAUAUUUGAAUUAUGCAUCUUGCAAGUUUAUUUUUUAGUAUAAUAUUAUUGUUUAAUUUAUCUAGCCAAAAGAUAUAUUACUUACUGGGCUGUCUAGCUCAUUACUCUAUAUUUUAUUAUUUUUACAGAUUUAGAGGAUUAACUUGACUUAUGGAUUCAUUAUGGAAAAGCAAAUUAGAGACAAAAUUUGACAGCUUUAUUUUUAGAUUAGGAUUUAUUAAUGUUGAUAAAAAACUAUAAAAUAUUAUUUUAUAAGAUAUUUGAUUUAGUUAUUUUAACUAAAGUUGAAUGUUAAUUAUUUAAAUUUUAUUCUACUGUUGUUUUAUGAUAUCGUGAUGAGAUGCCUUACAUGCUUGUGAGAAAAUUUUUUUAUAAGUAUGCAGUGGUUGUCACGAUCCCUGACUCUCAGAUCUUGGAUCGGAGAAGUGAUAGAUCUGCUCAAUUUGACAUGCCGGCAACCUAAUUAGUCUUAGUUUAGUUUUUUCUGAAAACAUCUUUUGGCACUCUGAGGGGAUUAGUGAGAUAGAAUACGAAGGAAAACCUCUAAAGAGAGUAAGCUAGGGUGAAACUCUCCGAGGGAAUGAUCAUCCAUUUGACAUGCCAGCAACCUAAUUAGUCUUAGUUUAGUUUUUUCUGAAAACAUUUUUUUGGCACUCUCAUGGGACUUAGUGAGAUAGAAUAUGAAGGAAAACCUCUAAGAAAGUAAGCUAGGGUGAAACUCUCCAAGAGAAUGAUCAUAUUGAGCCCAUCUACCCUUCAAUUAAGAGAUGCGAAGAUUCUCUCCGUAAGGAAUGACUUCGUGGUCAUAGACAAAAGCGGCGACUGGCGAUGAGAAAGGAGGCCAUGAAGUGGUUGAAGAAUCUGACUAGAAUACGGUUAAUGAUAAAAAUAAUGUCCUUGAAUUGGACAAUAAUGGCCAAAAGGAUGGUCCUGAUAAAGGACAACUCAACGAGGCCUCAAUAAAAAAAAAUGAAAGUAUCAUUGCACAAGCACUGUAACCCUUUAUCGAGGUCUUUCUUGAUCGUCAAAAAACCUUUAAAAUAUAACAAAGGCAAAUGGGAUAUAAAGUAACUCGUGCUAUGGAGAGGAGCAGCAGCGGAGUUACGUGUGCUACCCAGCAGCCAAUCUCUGAGGGUCAG
rnacentral:lncRNA from 1 species